GUGGGUAUAGCUCAGUUGGUUAGAGUAUUGGUUUGUCACGCCAAUGGUCGCGGGUUCAACCCCCGUUACUCACA
rnacentral:tRNA from 1 species